rnacentral:rRNA from 1 species
GCUGGAAUACUAUCAUAAGACCAGAAGACCCUGUGAAGCUUUAACUAAACUAUUAAACCUAAUAAUAACUACGUUUUGGUUGGGGCGACCUUGGAAUAAAAAAGAACUUCCAAAUUAUGAUUCCUCAUAUAAAAGGCACACAAGCCACAUUAGACCCAGUACAUCUGAUAAAUGAACCAAGUUACUCCAGGGAUAACAGCGCUAUCUUCUUCAAGAGCCCAUAUCAAAAAGAAGGUUUACGACCUCGAUGUUGGAUCAGGACAUCCUAGUAAUGCAACCGUUACUAAGGGUUCGUUUGUUCAACGAUUAAUAGUCCUACGUGAUCUGAG